AACGAACGCUGGCGGCAUGCCUAACACAUGCAAGUCGAACGAGACCUUCGGGUCUAGUGGCGCACGGGUGCGUAACGCGUGGGAACCUGCCCUUAGGUUCGGAAUAACUCCCCGAAAGGGGUGCUAAUACCGGCUAAUGUCUUCGGACCAAAGAUUUAUCGCCUUUGGAUGGGCCGGCGUUGGAUUAGCUAGUUGGUAGGGUAAAAGCCUACCAAGGCGACGAUCCAUAGCUGGUCUGAGAGGAUGAUCAGCCACACUGGGACUGAGACACGGCCCAGACUCCUACGGGAGGCAGCAGUGGGGAAUAUUGGACAAUGGGCGAAAGGCUGAUCCAGCAAUGCCGCGUGAGUGAUGAAGGCCUUAGGGUUGUAAAGCUCUUUUACCCGGGAUGAUAAUGACAGUACCGGGAGAAUAAGCUCCGGCUAACUCCGUG
rnacentral:rRNA from 1 species